GAAAUUCACAUACUGUAAAUUUCAUCCUUCUAAAGUAUGUACAGUACAGUGGUCUUUAAAUAGAUUUGCAGAGCUGUGCAGCUAUCACGCAGCAAGCACUGCUCAACUUUCUGUCUCUGUGGAUUUGCCUGCUCUUAGAGGAGAGGACGUGCAGAAUAGAGCUGGCUUGUGGGGAAGGUAGUGUACAAAUAAUAAUGCCUUGAGUUUGUAUAGCACUUAAUGGCUUUAUCAAACAUUUUCACAAAAUCACUCUGGCUGGUGUGGCUCAGUGGGUUGAGUGCUGGUCAAGUGAACCGAGCUCAUUUCUUGGCUAUCUUCCUUCCUUUUGUCUCAUUUGUCUUACAGAAUGGAGAGUGAUGCAUUUGUGACACAGAAACUUGUGAAACACACAGCCUGAAGCAGUGUAGCACCUCCGUGAAGGAGUAUCUCAAAGUGAGAGGAGGGAGAAGGGUGCACAGAGAAGAGGUGUUGUCGGUGGAGUAAGCAAACUUUCCAGCCCGAGGAUUCACCUGCCGGAAGCAGCUCUGGUCUGGGGGCUGCCGGAUGCACCUCUCUUCAUUGAUAUCCUCCGCAGUCUUAUUGUGGCCAGCUGUAGUUUCAACUUUCUGCCGUUGUGUUGUUUCAAGAGCUCCAGGUCACUGGAAGAGGUGAGCUCAUCUCGGAUGUGGCUCCAGUCAUAUUGCUGGCGCAAGAAGCUCUGCCACUUGUUGGGGGACACCCCAGGCCUCAAAGGACGCUUGUUCUCGAUCCAUCG